rnacentral:tRNA from 1 species
GGCUUCGUGACCGAGUUGGUUAAGGUGGUAGAUUCGAAAUCUACUGGGCUUGCCCGCGCGCGUUCGAAUCGCGUCGAAGCCU